AAUAAAAGCAGAAAAAAAAUAAAAAAAAUAGAAUGAAGACUCAGAGAAAGAAAGAGAGAAAGAGAAACGGAGAAUGAUAGAAUUCACUGAAAUAAAUCAAUAUUCUCUCCCAUUUACUUAUUAAAGGUGGUGACUGGAGAAAUAGUAAUUUGCCGUAAAGAGGAACUGUUCGAACUUGAUGACUGCGAAUUUGGAGCUUGCAAAGAGUUGUGUUUAGAGAGGGGCAGAGGGCCAUGGAUCUGCAAAUUGUAGUAGCUACUACAGAAUGCCAAGGAACUAACGUUUGUAGCUUCAAAUAUUAUUGCCCACAAUGGAACAAAAAAAUAGAUAUUUAAAUAAUCGGUCCUCUUAGGCUAUUUUUAUUUCUGAGAAUAGAAUAAGAUAUGAAAGAUAAAAUAAGACAUUGAGAAUAAAAUAUUAAGAAUAGAGACACAAAAUUUAGUAUUUUUGUAUUCUAUUUGGUAAUAAAUUAAAAUAAAUUAUAAAAA